rnacentral:miRNA from 1 species
GCUGACACAUCCCUGCCAAUCUCCGGCAGACCUUCCCCCCCAGACCCUCCCACCUCCUGGACAGCUUCCAUGUUGAAGUUGCCUUAAACAUGGAUGCUGUCCAGGAAGUAGGAGGGUCUGGGAGGGAGGGUCUGCCGGAGAUUGGCAGGGAUGUGUCAG